GCCACCACCCCUCUUCCUCUCCAUUUUUCACCAUUUUCAGUCACAUGCACCACCACCUAGCCUCCCUACUUCCUCCUUUUCCUUUUUCCUUGCCAGCGCCGUCCUCUCUCUUUCUUUCUCACCAGAAAAGUCGACUUUUGAGGAAGGAGUUGCUGGCCUCCUCGUUGCCUGUGCUAAACCAGCCACUUGUCAGCAUUUUCCAGCCAAACUGAUCCCAAAAAUGGCUUCCUCAUCCUCCAAAAUCUUAGGACAGCCCCUCCUUGCCGUCGAGCAACCGCUAUCCAGCUCGUCCAAGUCUCACCGGAGUAGAUUCUUCUCCACCUCGAUCUGACAUUUUCCAACGAGAAUUAGGCUGCAGUUUUGGUAUAUUUGGACUCCAUGCAUGUUAAAGCUUUGCAAAGGCGCUUCCAAAUUCGAAUUUCAACACUAUUCAUUAUACCAACUUUCGUACCCCGAUUGUUUCCGGAUAAUCCAACGGUUUAGCCAGCUCCGCCAAAGGUGUAGGAGCAGCUAGAGAAAAUUCGGCAGAACUGACGAAAUUAUUAGUAAUUAAAAAAGUGAUGGACUAAAUGGUGAAGAAGAAAAGUUGAGGGACCUAAUGUCGAUAAUGAAUGAAAGAAAAUAAAAGAAGAAAAGAAGGAAGAAGGAGGAGAUGUCGGGGGAGCUGGGGGUCAGCAUCCAUGGCAGUGGGAUUUGUG